rfam:Capsicum annuum cultivar Zunla-1 chromosome 4, whole genome shotgun sequence
ACCUCGUGGUUGGGGCAUUGCAUGGUUUUUUCAUUUAAUCUUUCCCACGCCUCAUACAAGAGUUCUCCAUUUAGUUGCUGAAAGUUAGUAUUCUCAUCAAAAAAUU